GAAAUGCUUAGAUAUCACGANGAACUCCGAUUGCGAAGGCAGCUUGCUGGACUNNAACUGACGCUGAGGCACGAAAGCGUGGGGAUCAAACAGGAUUAGAUACCCUGGUAGNCCACGCCGUAAACGAUGAAUGCUAGCUGUUAGCGAUAUACUGUUAGCGGCACAGAGAAAUCGUUAAGCAUUCCACCUGGGGAGUACGCCGGCAACGGUGAAACUCAAAGGAAUUGACGGGGGCCCGCACAAGCGGAGGAACAUGUGGUUUAAUUCGAUGAUACGCGAGGAACCUUACCUGGGCUUAAAUUGCAGUGGAAUAACGUGGAAACAUGUUAGCCUUCGGGCCGCUGUGAAGGUGCUGCAUGGUUGUCGUCAGCUCGUGCCGUGAGGUGUCGGCUUAAGUGCCAUAACGAGCGCAACCCUCAUCGAUAGUUACUAACAGGUUAAGCUGAGGACUCUAUCGAGACUGCCGACGUAAGUCGUGAGGAAGGUGGGGAUGACGUCAAAUCAGCACGGCCCUUACGUCCAGGGCUACACACGUGUUACAAUGGGGGGUACAAAGGGCAGCUACCUGGCGACAGGAUGCUAAUCUCAAAAACCUCUCUCAGUUCGGAUUGGAGUCUGCAACCCGACUCCAUGAAGCUGGAUUCGCUAGUAAUCGCGCAUCAGCCACGGCGCGGUGAAUACGUUCCCGGGCCUUGUACACACCGCCCGUCAAGCCAUGGGAGCCGGGGGGACCUGAAGUAUGCAACCGUAAGGAGCGUCCUAGGGUAAAACUGGUGACUGGGGCU
rnacentral:rRNA from 1 species